rnacentral:rRNA from 1 species
GUCCUGGCCGUAAACGAUGGAUGCUAGGUGUAGGAGGUGUCAACUCCUUCUGUGCCGCAGCUAACGCAAUAAGCAUCCCGCCUGGGGAGUACGGCCGCAAGGUUGAAACUCAAAGGAAUUGACGGGGGCCCCGCACAAGUGGUGGAGCAUGUGGUUUAAUUCGACGCUACGCGAAGAACCUUACCCGGGUUUGAAUUGCAGUGGUUGUAGUCGGCAGAGAUGUCGGCGACCCCGCAAGGGGGCUGCUGUGAAGGUGCUGCAUGGCUGUCGU